rnacentral:rRNA from 1 species
AUUGAACGCUGGCGGCAUGCUUUACACAUGCAAGUCGAACGGUAACGCGGGGCAACCUGGCGACGAGUGGCGAACGGGUGAGUAAUGCAUCGGAACGUGCCCGGUAGUGGGGGAUAACUGCUCGAAAGAGCAGCUAAUACCGCAUACGACCUGAGGGUGAAAGGGGGGGAUCGCAAGACCUCUCGCUAUUGGAGCGGCCGAUGUCGGAUCAGCUAGUUGGUGGGGUACGGGCCCACCAAUGCGACGAUCAGUAGCUGGUCGGAGAGGACGACCAACCACACUGGGACUGAGACACGGCCCAGACUCCUACGGGAGGCAGCAGUGGGGGAUUUUGGACAAUGGACGCAAGUCUGAUCCAGCCAUGCCGCGUGCGGGAAGAAGGCCUUCGGGUUGUAAACCGCUUUUGUCAGAGAAGAAAUCUUCUGGGUUAAUACCUCGGGAGGAUGACGGUAUCUGAAGAAUAAGCACCGGCUAACUACGUGCCAGCCGCCGCCGUAA